rnacentral:rRNA from 1 species
CGGCGAGUGAAGCGGCAACAGCUCAAAUUUGAAAUCUGGCUCUCUUUGGGGGUCCGAGUUGUAAUUUGCAGAGGAUGCUUUGGCAUUGGCGGCGGUCUAAGUUCCUUGGAACAGGACAUCACAGAGGGUGAGAAUCCCGUACGUGGUCGCCUGCCUUUGCCGUGUAAAGCUCCUUCGACGAGUCGAGUUGUUUGGGAAUGCAGCUCUAAAUGGGAGGUAAAUUUCUUCUAAAGCUAAAUACUGGCCAGAGACCGAUAGCGCACAAGUAGAGUGAUCGAAAGAUGAAAAGUACUUUGGAAAGAGAGUCAAAAAGCACGUGAAAUUGUUGAAAGGGAAGCGCUUGCAGCCAGACUUGCCCGCAGUUGCUCACCUAGGCUUUCGCCUGGGGCACUCUUCUGCGGGCAGGCCAGCAUCAGUUUGGGCGGUUGGAUAAAGGCCUCUGUCACGUAUCUCCCUUCGGGGUGACCUUAUAGGGGAGGCGCAAUGCAACCAGCCCGGACUGAGGUCCGCGCAUCUGCUAGGAUGCUGGCGUAAUGGCUGUAAGCGGCCCGUCUUGAAACACGGACCAAGGAGUCUAACAUCUAUG